UCGACUACGUGGGAGUCCAGCGACAUAGCCAUUACGCUAACUGCUGGUUCCCGUUGCCUAACUUUUAUUAGACAUUCAUGUUUAUCCAUUCAUUUGAAUCAAAAUACAUAUUUGAAUGUCCACACAGACAUCAACACUACUCUUUAUCAUGCCAGUUGGACAUGUGCUCACCAGAGACAGGCAGAGAGAGAGGGAGAGAGAGCUACGGGGCUUGCCACAGCCCCUCUCCUCCAUCUCUCCCUCCUUCAGGGCCUUCGGACACACUCACUUAUGCGCACAGCAUGUUUCUCAAGCCGCCAGGCUCGGAACUUGAACCUGUGGUCAGCCAUGGGGGACGCAGCCGCCUUAACCACUGGCCCACAGGGCUGGCUGUACAUCAGACUUUGAAUCUAGUCAGUGAGGGCCUUUACCGGCCAGUGCCCGAGAACCAGAGCCUUCGCCCAUGACGCCCUCCUUUCCCCUGGGGACGUGAGUUAGCGUGGUUCCGACAGUUCACUCAGCUGUCAGCUCACUUCCGUUGGUGGUUACAGAUGUGCCUGGCCAAGUCUCUAGUCACUCACCUCUGUCUCUGGAGUCUCACCCUGGAGCGGGCCCCCUCGGCUGUGUUCUGUACACUGGGAGUGAAAUCACUGUUAGUUUUCUGACAAGGGGAAACACUGACAAGCAGAAAAUGAAAACCUACGAGUUCUCUCCCACUGAAGCUAUUCAUGAAUACUGGAGCCUAAAGAAAGGGUCUGAACUAAACAUUGAAUUUGUGGUCCUGGAAGAAUCUGGGGAUGAGAUAAAUUAGAGUGAUGAUAAAGCAAAUGAACAACGUUCUUGGUUUCAUUUCUUAAGCCAUCAUGUUAAGGUAGCAUGGGACUGGCCCCAUGGUCUAGAGUUUUAGGGAAGCAGAUCCCACAUGGCCAGCCUCAGUUCAAAUCCUGGCACUGGUGGCUUGUAAAGCAUGCCAGGAAUGUGGCAUCCAUGCUCAGGAUUCCAGUGGGGUGGAGACGUGGCGCCUGGCGUGCCCUGGGGUGCUCUCUCUUGCCCUCUCGGGUCUCUCUCCGGCGCUGCACCAGAGAGACCGUGGCAUUGACCGCAACUCCUUAAGAGGUCAGUCUCUCCGCCUCCUGCCCCAGCACACCACAGCGGACAUCGUACUUCUUGGGGGAGAUGAGUGAAAUAAAAAUGAUUAUGAACUUGCUGCCCCUGUGUCUUCAACCACUUUCCUUGCUCUUGUCACUUACAGAAGAGUACUCAAUGAAGACUGAAGGAGGCGGGUUAGAUGCACGUCAGGAAAAGGGCUCUCCUUGGCUACGGGCCUGCGGGCCUGCGGGCGUUCCCUCUCUGGGCUCAGGCUCCUAGUGCAGGAAGCACCUCUGAGGCAACUGAAUUAGCUCCAGUCAGCAAUGUCUGAACUGACCACCUGCCCUGUGGCCUGUGCCUUCAGAAGUCAUUGGCUCUGCAGGACGGGUCAAGUGUGCAAAGACAUCAUCUCAGAGCCCCGAGGACCCUUCACCCCGUUUACUAAUUAUGUUCCACACGACAGACUGUGGUCUCGGCUGGCAAGCCCGAGGCCUUCCCAGGAGCCGGAAGAUCUGCAAGAACUCAGACUGCCAACUUCCUGCUGACCGCCGUGCCCCUUUUUGUCCUGUCCCCUUCCCCAGUGCCCUGUGGUGGAUCGAUGGCAGAACAUCCCACACCUAGAAGCCUGUGGGCUCCAGCUGCAGAGGUGGCAUGACGGCAAUGUCACCUUCGUUCACGCCUGGCUAUGCAGACCCACCAGGAGGCGUCCAUCAGUACUUGAGACUCCUCGGCCCUGAAAACGUGGGACGUUUCCUCUCAGUGAGUCUAGGAUGGGGGCCACCUUCUCGUGGCCCACUCCUCUGUGAGAGAACCCUCAGUUCAGCCCAAUAUGCUUUGGUGAGAAUGCUGACUUCCACGUAGACCUACAGGCCAGGCCAGACCUGCAGGCAGCCCAGGGCACCUGCAGCCCAUGCACACCCACCUGCCCCCCAUUCCCAGCGGGUCCACGGGCUGUGGAGCCUGCGCAGGGCUGGCUGGGCUCAGGGUGGCAUUUCCAGUCCUGAGAAGACUUCUGGAAGCUGCUCACGCUGUGGAUGUGAGUUCUUAAAGACGUUCUGAAACUGAGGCUGAGGACUGAAGACUCUGUCCUGCUGCCCCUGGGUCUGUAGUCACGGAGCCAUGGCAUUUCCUUGCCAACGAAGCUAGCCAGUUCAGGUUUCCUGCCACCACACGGCCAGUCAUGGGAGGGAUUUCUGAUGCUGCCCGAUCGGAGCUGGUAUGGAGGUUGGCUCUCGGUGGGGCCUGCAGCACUCACUACUGUGGACCCUGGCCCUCAGUCGCCCCCGUGACACUGUGUAGGUAGGAAGAUGGGGGCAGUGGCUUCGUGUGGGUCUCUUGGCUCAGCGGGAUUCACUUACACUGGGCUCUGCUGGCACGUGGGAGAACCCUGCUGCGUGAGUUCUAGAACAGCCUACUCUUUGGCAAAGGAAACUGAACUUGCCUCCCUUGCAGUUUACAAUGGUCUCCGUAGCUUGUACUUUAUGGCGUAAGUAAUCCUACCCCUGGCUUUAUAGGGAACACAGGGUCCCUGGAAUCACAUGC